rnacentral:rRNA from 1 species
AUGGGAGAAACCAUCGACAAGCUGCAGAAUCUGCUCGAGUCGGUCAUCCGCCGCCUCGACGCAAGUCAGAAAACCGCCGACGAGCGAUUCCAGGCCCAGACGUCCUUCAACGAGACGGUGUCCACUGAAUUGAAGCACCUAGGCAAGCAAAUCGACUUGACCCAAGCCAAUGUCGACGAGGCGCGCAAGGCGGCGCCCACCAUGGAUCCAGCCACCGCCGCCGCCGCGGGGGCCACAUCACCAUCGGGCCUCACUGCAGAUGCGGGAUCAUCCAUCCAUGCGCCCCCUACACCACCCGUCGCGACCCGCCACCCGCCCCCGCCUCCACCUCCUGAGCCCCUGUAUACUGAAGGCGCGGCGCAACUCCCUUUCGCGCGGCUGGUCAAUCAUGGACCACCGUUGCUGCCUGUCAGAGCACCGGCGCCACCAGAGUCGGCCCGCGCCGGCGACCACCACACCAAACUGCCAAAGCAUGACUUCCCCAAGUUUGAUGGCGACGCCCCUCGCAUCUGGUUGGAGCGUUGUGCUUCGUACUUCGAGCUGUACAAGGUGCCGCAGCACAGUUGGGUCACUACUGCAUCCUUGUACAUGGAGGGUCUGACAGCUAUGUGGCUGCAAUCUUACCGUCAGACGCACCCGGGGGUGACAUGGCCAAGUUUCAGAGCAGCAGUCGAAGAAGAGUUCGGGCCAGAAGAAUUUGAGGUUCAGAUGCACAGACUGGUCCAACUGAAACAGACCGGUAGUGUCCAGGAGUACAGGCAGCAAUUUGAAACUUGCAUGUACCAUUUGCUGUCUCUCGAUCCAUCGCUCAGCCCCAAGUUUUUUUUGUCUCAGUUUCUCUUGGGUCUGAAGGAUGAGCUCCGCCUUGGGGUUAGGCUGCAGGCACCAACAAGCAUCACCCGGGCAGCCGUGUUAGCACGCAUACAGGAGGAAGAGUUGGAGAAACAACGUGUUCAGCGCCACCGUCCAGCACCAGUGGGACGUCCACCACCAGCUGCGCCAGCACCCAUUCCGGCUCGCGGGGUCGUGCCACCGCGUCAAGGGGGCGACGAGUUUGGCCGGGAGCGUCAGCUGCGCGAUUUCAGACGCGCCAAUGGCCUCUGUUUUUGUUGCAGGGACAAGUACUCCCGGGAACAUCAGUGCAAGAGGACGGGAGUAAUGAUGAUGAUCGAGGUUGGUGAUUAUGGGGAAAUUCUCUCAGAUGACACAGUUCACGCCUUGUAA